rnacentral:rRNA from 1 species
UACGUAGGUGACAAGCGUUGUCCGGAUUUACUGGGCGUAAAGAGCGCGCAGGCGGUCGUACAAGUCGCGUGUGAAAGCCCCCGGCUCAACUGGGGAGGGUCACGCGAUACUGUUCGACUCGAAGGCAGGAGAGGGAAGUGGAAUUCCCGGUGUAGUGGUGAAAUGCGUAGAUAUCGGGAGGAACACCAGUGGCGAAGGCGACUUCCUGGCCUGUUCUUGACGCUGAGGCGCGAAAGCUAGGGUAGCAAACGGG